rnacentral:rRNA from 1 species
GAUGAACGCUGGCGGCGUGCCUAAUACAUGCAAGUCGAGCGAACGGACGAGAAGCUUGCUUCUCUGAUGUUAGCGGCGGACGGGUGAGUAACACGUGGAUAACCUACCUAUAAGACUGGGAUAACUUCGGGAAACCGGAGCUAAUACCGGAUAAUAUUUUGAACCGCAUGGUUCAACAGUGAAAGACGGUCUUGCUGUCACUUAUAGAUGGAUCCGCGCUGCAUUAGCUAGUUGGUAAGGUAACGGCAUACCAAGGCAACGAUGCAUAGCCGACCUGAGAGGGUGAUCGGCCACACUGGAACUGAGACACGGUCCAGACUCCUACGGGAGGCAGCAGUAGGGAAUCUUCCGCAAUGGGCGAAAGCCUGACGGAGCAACGCCGCGUGAGUGAUGAAGGUCUUCGGAUCGUAAAACUCUGUUAUUAGGGAAGAACAUAUGUGUAAGUAACUGUGCACAUCUUGACGGUACCUAAUCAGAAAGCCACGGCUAACUACGUG